rnacentral:rRNA from 1 species
CGUACAAGCAGUGGGAGCACGCUUAGGCGUGUGACUGCGUACCUUUUGUAUAAUGGGUCAGCGACUUAUAUUCUGUAGCAAGGUUAACCGAAUAGGGGAGCCGAAGGGAAACCGAGUCUUAACUGGGCGUUAAGUUGCAGGGUAUAGACCCGAAACCCGGUGAUCUAGCCAUGGGCAGGUUGAAGGUUGGGUAACACUAACUGGAGGACCGAACCGACUAAUGUUGAAAAAUUAGCGGAUGACUUGUGGCUGGGGGUGAAAGGCCAAUCAAACCGGGAGAUAGCUGGUUCUCCCCGAAAGCUAUUUAGGUAGCGCCUCGUGAAUUCAUCUCCGGGGGUAGAGCACUGUUUCGGCAAGGGGGUCAUCCCGACUUACCAACCCGAUGCAAACUGCGAAUACCGGAGAAUGUUAUCACGGGAGACACACGGCGGGUGCUAACGUCCGUCGUGAAGAGGGAAACAACCCAGACCGCCAGCUAAGGUCCCAAAGUCAUGGUUAAGUGGGAAACGAUGUGGGAAGGCCCAGACAGCCAGGAUGUUGGCUUAGAAGCAGCCAUCAUUUAAAGAAAGCGUAAUAGCUCACUGGUCGAGUCGGCCUGCGCGGAAGAUGUAACGGGGCUAAACCAUGCAC